rnacentral:tRNA from 1 species
UAAGGCAGAGGACUGCAAAUCCCUGAUCCCCCAGUUCAAAUCUGGGUGUCGCCUACUUUUUUGUGGUCAAGA